ACGGGAGUAGUGAAAUGGUAUCACAAUGCUCUCCAAAAGCAUUUUUCCAGGUUCAAAUCCUGGCUCCCGUG
rnacentral:tRNA from 1 species